CUCAAAUAAUCGAAACAAAAUUGAGAACUUUAUUCAAAAAAAUUCGAGCAAGCCAAUCCAGGGUCUGUUUGUUUCCCAGAAAAUGUAGAUGAAAAGAUAAUGAAACAUUAAUUGAGAACUUUAUUCAAAAAAAAUCCAAACAUGCUAAAACAAUGUGACAAAUACUUAUCCAAACCCCAAUGGAGAGAAGAAACAUGCAGCGAAUUUUCUGUCAUUUUCUCAUAAUCAAAGGAAUGGUGAGAAAAUUCCUCAAAAAGAGUGAAAAAAGCACACAAAACGACAUUGUAUAGAAAAGAGCAAAAUGGUACUGUUCUUGACUUUAGUGACGGCAUUCCAGAAGAACCCAAAGGCCGGUCCAUCAGACGGAGUGGGCUUCAGAAAUUGCUGUAGUGGAGUCUGAGUUGGCGGUUGAGCGGUUUGAACCAGCGGCAGAGUGGGAGGUUGAACCGGCAGCAAAGAAGGAACAUUUUUAGCCAGCGAUUCGAAAGCUUUGCCAUCUUUGCCACCACAUCCGCCACCACUAUUGAAGCAACGAUUGUGGUCCAAGGACAUCCACCGCAGUGAGACUUGGUUGAGGAGGAAGGACAACCAGAAGCUGUGCCGACGCCUUGCUAAUGGUAGCAGAUUUGCGAUUGCAUUUCAGAGCGAGUUUGGUCACUGAAUUGAAUUGAAUUGAGAGAAGAGUGCUGGAAUCAUCGAGAGUAGAUCGAAUUGAGUGUUGAGGGAGAGACGGUGGUGGCUUUGCCGCUCCACCCAGGCCACCAGCAGCAGACGAUAACUCACAGAUCAGAGGAGUCGAUGAUGGAACGAAGCUUUGGAGGGGGAAAGAAUGAAGGUUUGAAGAAAUUGAAAGGGCCAUUUGCUUCUACAGCGACAAAGAUGGGCCUGAGAAUAGAGAUUUAAGGAUAGGAAGAGAAUUUAAAUAGGUAGAGAGAAAAAGAAAAGAGAGAAGUUGAACAAGUAGAGAGUAAUUUAGAGUCAUGUAGCUAUCUGUCAUAGAAAGAUGCAAAAUAUGGGAAGUUUGGUCUUUUCGCAGAGGCAUGUCCUUAUGGACAUAGUAAUUUAGAGAGUGGACUUUCAGGCCAAAGAAAUUCAAAAUGGACAUAUGGACGGAGUGGCCUUUUGUUUUUAACUAGAAUUCAUAAAUACAUAUGAGACCCACUUACUUAUGUCUGAGAUAAAAAAUAAGAUUAUAUGCAGCAUUUUUCUAUAUUUAAGUUUGAGAUAAUAUUUUAUUAUUAUUUGAGCCACUGUAAAAAAAACUUGUUGGCCUAAUAAAUUUGUUUUAAUUUAUCAUAUAACACGAUCUAUUUUAUUCUUGACUUUUGGCCCCCAUAUUUAUAAUCUGACUCCACCCUUGUACAAAAAUAAAAAAAAUAAAAAAAAAAAGCAAACAGAGAACUAAUUUAGAUUUUUCACAUUAGGCCCCCAAAAAGCUUGAAUUGGGUCACCUCUGUUUAUGUAGAUAUAUAUUGCCAUAGUAAAAAGAAAACAAUUAAAGAAAUGUGAAUAUGACUGAGAACCGAUGUCAAUUUUGAAUGAGAACAAAACUUAAUAUCAUAUAUUCAUUCUUAGGGUUAGGGUUGUGAAAUCAAAGCGCCAAUGGCACAACUAUCUUGAGUGGCUAAAAAUGUUAAUUUUGAUUGAGAACCAAACUGAAUAUUAAAUUUCAGUAAGGCUUAGGAUUUUGAAAUCCAAAGCCCUAAUGGCACUGCUAUCUUGGAUGUAAAUGAAGUUUAGAGUGAGAAACAAACUUGAGCUACAGAAAAGAGCUCUCGGAAAGAUUCGAUUAGAAUGGAAGCAACUAGUUCUUUGCUCACAAACCCAUGGUGGAGAUGUGAGAGAGUGAGAGCUUGUGAAGAUGUUGACAUUGAGAGAACGGUGGUCCGAAUUGCCGACGGGGCUGGUGGACUUUGGCCAUGGCUGAAAGCUUCGGCCAUGGCAGAACAGAAGAGGGAGGAAAGAGAAGAGCAAGAAGAGGAGAAGAGGGUGUAUUGAUUUGGGUCUCGACCUUGACUGAGAUUCAAUUUUGGUCCUUUUUGGUAACUGGCUACACCGGUGCCAAUUGAAAAAUGAAAUUAUUUAAAAAUAAAUUAGUUAUGAUGUGCUUAAUCGUGGAGAGCAAAGGGGGGGACCAUUGAAUCGGAGAAGGUGGUGGUGGUCCGAAGCAAUAAAAGCAAUGCAAGGGGCAAGAGGGGUUAGAUACCCAGUUUGGCCCCAAACAACCAUAGAGGGCGGUUUUUGCUAACAAUGGCAAUCGAUGAACAACCCUAUAUUAGAAGUUCUAGGUCACCAGCUGAAAGUGAGUCUUCCAAGAAAUGCCAAAGUUUAAUAUACAGAAAACUACAUCCACUACAAGGAAAUAGUGAUUUAGAGACCAAUUGAAUUUGGUUCCUAAAAAUAAUCUUUUAGGGACAAAAAUAAAAGUUGUGAUACUUUUGCAGAAAUGCUUCAUUGUUCACGGUAAAAUCUUUUGGAAUAUUUGGAGACAAAUUAUUUUAGACGUAACUGAACCUUUAGAGACCAAAUGUUUUGGUCCUUAAAAAUGGCCAAUUAGAAAACCACCAUCCUUAUAUCUGAAACUAUUCCAACCCACGGGACCAAACACUCCUUUGCCCUAAUUUUUCAAUUCUCUCUCUCUCUCUCUCGUUUGAAGCUCGGUGUGAGAAAAUGGAUCGUGAAAAUCGAUUUAUCAUUACUCGUUACCGGUAGAUCUAUCAAACAUUUGAGAUGUUAAGCUUCAAUCAGGAUAGAGAUGUCUAUUAGAUCAUAAAAGGAAUAUCGACCCUACUGUAAUUGGAGCUGCACCACAGCACCACUUGUUCACGGGAUUUUUCAGGUUAGUAACAGUUGAAGACCAGAGAGCUCAGGUGAAGCACCCUUAAGCCAAAACAAACAUACAUAUGCAUAAUCCCAGUCAAAUUUUGAUGGUAAUGAUGAUCCCCGUGCUUGAUAACCAAAGAAGUGGCAGGUAGCAUUAAAUUAAUUGUUUUUGAGGAAGAGUGAAAAUAAUCUAUUUUGUUUUUUGAUCAGGUUAAUUCCCAGCCCAUUAGCAACAUUUGCAUUGAUGCUCUCUCUGCAGAGAAGACAAGUACCAUGGAGUCAUUCUGCUACCUGAUGGGCUUAUUGAAAGCAUUCCUGAAGUGUAUGCUCUCUUUCAGGAAAUUCAUGGUUUGUUCAGGCAAGUUGUUUCUGUUGACAACAUUUCUUCUCAACUGUCACCUUGGGCAUCUGCCUCGUUUGAAUUUUUGCCACCCUCAUUAGAAAGCAGAUUAUUAUCCCACAUAUUAUCACAUUGAAAGCUCCUCAUCUUCCCAGAAUCAGAUGAAUCUGCACAGUUAUCCCAGAUUGAGACAGAAACUUUUAGCUCAUCUUGUGGAAGCAGAAAUCAACAAGAGAUUCCUAAAUAUAGCCACCUGUGUCUGGGUUCUUAUUUAGCUUUUGACAAACUGAAGUUAAAUUUUUUCCCCAAUACUUUCAAUAAAUUACAAAAAUUCUUAAAAUCUUAUUCAAUUUAAAAUACCCCAAAAAGAUCAUUCUGCAACUAUUUGCUAUUGGUUUCUUCCAUUCCAUCCACUGCUUUGCAUUUUUAUUUUGAUGAAGAACCUCAUGAAAUGAUCUGGGAGAUGCUGCUGUAGAGUUAUUGCAUACUCUGCUAGCUGUGCAUGCAGAGGUAUUUGUAAUGCAUGCUUUGUGUGGUUUGUGCUCGAAAAUUUUCUUGUCUUGUUAAUAAAUUCUUCUCGCUUUCUUUUCUUUUUCUUUUUGUUGUUUUGGCCUACAUGUCGUGCCACACUGUAUAAUUUCUAUACUGAGAAACCAUAUCCACAUCAGUUUAAGGCCAAUUUCUGAACGCCGACUAAGCAAUAUACUAAAAGUGUGCUUUAGUUCAUUUGCUUAUCCAAGUUUAUGAGGUGAAAUAAUUCCCUUGUUGCCAGUCUUUAAAAAAUGCAACUUCUUUUAAUAAAUAAAUAAAAAGUGAAUACUAAGGGCCUGAUUGUUAUGUUUUGUUUUUUCCAUUUUUAAAUUCCAUCUCGUCUUUGAAUUUUUAGAAAUGAAACAUCUAGAUUGCAAAAGCAUGGUUGUCAUGGGAUUGUUGCCCUUUUUUAAUGUACUUGAGAUUUUUAGAAUUCAUUGAACUAUUUUGAUUUUUUUUUUUUUCCCCUGUUCUGUUUUGCAUUUUUUCCCAUUUUGAAAAUGUACCUGUUUUUGCAAAUGAUGCACAUCUUCUUUUUUCUUUCUUUUUCUGUUGUUGUCAAAUUCACUUUAAGCAAAUUCAAGUACAUUCUUUGUUUGUCAUCAUGGUACUUUGAUUUAGAAACACAAUUUGUAUUAAUCCUAGUUGUUUCAUAAAUAGUCAUCAAUUGGAGCAGGAGCAGACUUCUCGGCACCAUCUUCACAAAGGGUAUUUAUGGUGCUGAACAAUCUCCUGGACAAUCUUUCUCAUUGCCAUCUUUGGUUUUUUGCUUUUUUUUCUUUUGAUCCCCAAUUUAUUUUAUUUGCCAUCUUGGAGUUUUAUGUUUUGUAAAAAGUUACUUUCUAUAUCAUUAUGGUUUGGGAAUUGAGUUGUGGAUGUCAAUUUUUUGUUUUUUAUAUGAUUGAAUGUAAAUUUUAAUUUUUGUGCAUUUUUAGUUAUGAAAUUAAAAAUGGUUACAAAAUAUUUUCCAGACA